rnacentral:rRNA from 1 species
GGAGGUUACUGCUAUCGGAGUUCGAUUUAGCCAUGCGAGUCUAAAGGUUUCUUNGGAAACCUUGGCGGACUGCUCAGUAACACGUGGAUAACCUACCCUUGGGACUGGAAUAACCCCGGGAAACUGGGGAUAAUACCGGAUAGAUCAGGGAUGCUGGAAUGCACCUUGAUCCAAAGCUCCGGCGCCCAAGGAUGGGUCUGCGGCCUAUCAGGUAGUAGUGGGUGUAACGUACCUACUAGCCAACGACGGGUACGGGUUGUGAGAGCAAGAGCCCGGAGAUGGAUUCUGAGACACGAAUCCAGGCCCUACGGGGUGCAGCAGGCGCGAAACCUUUACAAUGUGCGAAAGCAUGAUAAGGGAACUCCGAGUGCCAGCAUCUAAUGUUGGCUGUCCUUGUGCCUAAAACGCACAAGAUAGCAAGGGCCGGGUAAGACCGGUGCCAGCCGCCGCGGUAACACCGGCGGCCCAAGUGGUAGCCGCUAUUAUUGGGUCUAAAGGGUCCGUAGCCGGUUCGAUAAGUCCUCUGGGAAAUCUGGUUGCUUAACAAUCAGACUGCCAAGGGAUACUGUCGAACUUGAGACCGGGAGAGGUAAGAGGUACUUCAGGGGUAGGAGUGAAAUCUUGUAAUCCCUGGGGGACCAUCUGUGGCGAAGGCGUCUUACCAGAACGGGUCUGACGGUGAGGGACGAAAGCUGGGGGCGCAAACCGGAUUAGAUACCCGGGUAGUCCCAGUCGUAAACGAUGCUCGCUAUGUGUCAGGUACGGUGUGACCGUAUCUGGUGCCGUAGGGAAGCCGUGAAGCGAGCCACCUGGGAAGUACGGCCGCAAGGCUGAAACUUAAAGGAAUUGGCGGG